GACGAACCGUGCGAACGUUGUUCGGAAUCACUGGGCUUAAAGGGCGCGUAGGCGGGUAGCCAAGUCGGUGGUGAAAUCUUUUCGGCCCAACCGGAAAAAGUGCCGCCGAUACUGGCUGUCUCGAGGGAGGUAGGGGCGUGUGGAACUGGUGGUGGAGCGGUGGAAAUGCGUAGAUAUCACUAGGAACGCCGGUGGCGAAAGCGACACGCUGGACCUCUACUGACGCUGAGGCGCGAAAGCGUGGGGAGCGAACAGGA
rnacentral:rRNA from 1 species